rnacentral:misc_RNA from 1 species
AAGUCGUAACAAGGUUUCCGUCGGUGAACCUGCGGAAGGAUCAUUAACAAUUGUCCAUUUUCCUUUGCAUAUGGAUGGUUCAAAUCCAUAUCCACCUUCGUGUGCACCUCAUUGACAUGUUUGCUUUGGCAGUUUGCGGGAGAUCCUUUAUCGUUUCUCCUCCGUGGAGGGAAAAGAGACAGAGAGAGAGAGAAGAAGAAGAAAUGAAAACUUUUUCUCUCGCUUCUUCUUCCUCCUCUCGCCCCUCUUCCUCCGGCGCUGCCAGAGUUUUUUUCCUUUUGUUUCACGUGACAAACUUUUCUUGCUUUUUCUCAAAGCAAGCAUGAAAAUCAUUAUUUUUUUGGGAAAACCAAAAUUAAAUUAAAGACAA